rnacentral:rRNA from 1 species
AGCGUACACGGUGGAUGCCCUGGCAGUCAGAGGCGAUGAAGGACGUGCUAAUCUGCGAUAAGCGUCGGUAAGGUGAUAUGAACCGUUAUAACCGGCGAUUUCCGAAUGGGGAAACCCAGUGUGUUUCGACACACUAUCAUUAACUGAAUCCAUAGGUUAAUGAGGCGAACCGGGGGAACUGAAACAUCUAAGUACCCCGAGGAAAAGAAAUCAACCGAGAUUCCCCCAGUAGCGGCGAGCGAACGGGGAGCAGCCCAGAGCCUGAAUCAGUGUGUGUGUUAGUGGAAGCGUCUGGAAAGGCGCGCGAUACAGGGUGACAGCCCCGUACACAAAAAUGCACAUGCUGUGAGCUCGAUGAGUAGGGCGGGACACGUGGUAUCCUGUCUGAAUAUGGGGGGACCAUCCUCCAAGGCUAAAUACUCCUGACUGACCGAUAGUGAACCAGUACCGUGAGGGAAAGGCGAAAAGAACCCCGGCGAGGGGAGUGAAAAAGAACCUGAAACCGUGUACGUACAAGCAGUGGGAGCACGCUUCGGCGUGUGACUGCGUACCUUUUGUAUAAUGGGUCAGCGACUUAUAUUCUGUAGCAAGGUUAACCGAAUAGGGGAGCCGAAGGGAAACCGAGUCUUAACUGGGCGUUAAGUUGCAGGGUAUAGACCCGAAACCCGGUGAUCUAGCCAUGGGCAGGUUGAAGGUUGGGUAACACUAACUGGAGGACCGAACCGACUAAUGUUGAAAAAUUAGCGGAUGACUUGUGGCUGGGGGUGAAAGGCCAAUCAAACCGGGAGAUAGCUGGUUCUCCCCGAAAGCUAUUUAGGUAGCGCCUCGUGAAUUCAUCUCCGGGGGUAGAGCACUGUUUCGGCAAGGGGGUCAUCCCGACUUACCAACCCGAUGCAAACUGCGAAUACCGGAGAAUGUUAUCACGGGAGACACACGGCGGGUGCUAACGUCCGUCGUGAAGAGGGAAACAACCCAGACCGCCAGCUAAGGUCCCAAAGUCAUGGUUAAGUGGGAAACGAUGUGGGAAGGCCCAGACAGCCAGGAUGUUGGCUUAGAAGCAGCCAUCAUUUAAAGAAAGCGUAAUAGCUCACUGGUCGAGUCGGCCUGCGCGGAAGAUGUAACGGGGCUAAACCAUGCACCGAAGCUGCGGCAGCGACGCUGAUGCGUUGUUGGGUAGGGGAGCGUUCUGUAAGCCUGCGAAGGUGUGCUGUGAGGCAUGCUGGAGGUAUCAGAAGUGCGAAUGCUGACAUAAGUAACGAUAAAGCGGGUGAAAAGCCCGCUCGCCGGAAGACCAAGGGUUCCUGUCCAACGUUAAUCGGGGCAGGGUGAGUCGACCCCUAAGGCGAGGCCGAAAGGCGUAGUCGAUGGGAAACAGGUUAAUAUUCCUGUACUUGGUGUUACUGCGAAGGGGGGACGGAGAAGGCUAUGUUGGCCGGGCGACGGUUGUCCCGGUUUAAGCGUGUAGGCUGGUUUUCCAGGCAAAUCCGGAAAAUCAAGGCUGAGGCGUGAUGACGAGGCACUACGGUGCUGAAGCAACAAAUGCCCUGCUUCCAGGAAAAGCCUCUAAGCAUCAGGUAACAUCAAAUCGUACCCCAAACCGACACAGGUGGUCAGGUAGAGAAUACCAAGGCGCUUGAGAGAACUCGGGUGAAGGAACUAGGCAAAAUGGUGCCGUAACUUCGGGAGAAGGCACGCUGAUAUGUAGGUGAGGUCCCUCGCGGAUGGAGCUGAAAUCAGUCGAAGAUACCAGCUGGCUGCAACUGUUUAUUAAAAACACAGCACUGUGCAAACACGAAAGUGGACGUAUACGGUGUGACGCCUGCCCGGUGCCGGAAGGUUAAUUGAUGGGGUUAGCGCAAGCGAAGCUCUUGAUCGAAGCCCCGGUAAACGGCGGCCGUAACUAUAACGGUCCUAAGGUAGCGAAAUUCCUUGUCGGGUAAGUUCCGACCUGCACGAAUGGCGUAAUGAUGGCCAGGCUGUCUCCACCCGAGACUCAGUGAAAUUGAACUCGCUGUGAAGAUGCAGUGUACCCGCGGCAAGACGGAAAGACCCCGUGAACCUUUACUAUAGCUUGACACUGAACAUUGAGCCUUGAUGUGUAGGAUAGGUGGGAGGCUUAGAAGUGUGGACGCCAGUCUGCAUGGAGCCGACCUUGAAAUACCACCCUUUAAUGUUUGAUGUUCUAACGUGGACCCGUAAUCCGGGUUGCGGACAGUGUCUGGUGGGUAGUUUGACUGGGGCGGUCUCCUCCUAAAGAGUAACGGAGGAGCACGAAGGUUGGCUAAUCCUGGUCGGACAUCAGGAGGUUAGUGCAAUGGCAUAAGCCAGCUUGACUGCGAGCGUGACGGCGCGAGCAGGUGCGAAAGCAGGUCAUAGUGAUCCGGUGGUUCUGAAUGGAAGGGCCAUCGCUCAACGGAUAAAAGGUACUCCGGGGAUAACAGGCUGAUACCGCCCAAGAGUUCAUAUCGACGGCGGUGUUUGGCACCUCGAUGUCGGCUCAUCACAUCCUGGGGCUGAAGUAGGUCCCAAGGGUAUGGCUGUUCGCCAUUUAAAGUGGUACGCGAGCUGGGUUUAGAACGUCGUGAGACAGUUCGGUCCCUAUCUGCCGUGGGCGCUGGAGAACUGAGGGGGGCUGCUCCUAGUACGAGAGGACCGGAGUGGACGCAUCACUGGUGUUCGGGUUGUCAUGCCAAUGGCACUGCCCGGUAGCUAAAUGCGGAAGAGAUAAGUGCUGAAAGCAUCUAAGCACGAAACUUGCCCCGAGAUGAGUUCU